rnacentral:tRNA from 1 species
GGGGUUGUGGCUCAGUGGUAGAGCAUUCGCCUAGCAUGUGCAAGGCCCUGGGUUCAAUCCUCAGCACCACA